GCCUUCGGGUCGUAAAGCUCUGUUGUUAGGGAAGAACAAGUACCAGAGUAACUGCUGGUACCUUGACGGUACCUAACCAGAAAGCCACGGCUAACUACGUGCCAGCAGCCGCGGUAAUACGUAGGUGGCAAGCGUUGUCCGGAAUUAUUGGGCGUAAAGCGCGCGCAGGCGGUCCUUUAAGUCUGAUGUGAAAGCCCACGGCUCAACCGUGGAGGGUCAUUGGAAACUGGGGGACUUGAGUACAGAAGAGGAAAGUGGAAUUCCACGUGUAGCGGUGAAAUGCGUAGAGAUGUGGAGGAACACCAGUGGCGAAGGCGACUUUCUGGUCUGUAACUGACGCUGAGGCGCGAAAGCGUGGGGAGCAAACAGGAUUA
rnacentral:rRNA from 1 species